GGUCACGGGAAAUCGGGAAUUUGGCCGACGUCGCUGUUCUGUCCUGUAAACCGUCAAACUGCUGGAUAUUCUUAUGAAUAAAGGGCCGUAUAAAGGCACCCAGGUCUGAGCCAUCGGGUCCAGCCGCCCCUGACUCUCCCAGUCUCUGGAAACCUCUGGAAACAUCUGGAAACUAGUCCCCUGACUCUCCCAGAGCCUCUGGAAACCUCUGGAAACCUCUGGAAACCUCUGGAAACCGCUGGAAACUAGUCCCCUGACUCUCCCAGAGCCUCUGGAAACCUCUGGAAACUAGUCCCCUGACUCUCCCAGAGCCUCUGGUAACCGGUCUCCUGCUCCACAGAACUCCUCAGAUUCUGAGGAGGAGGUCCAGCGUCCUGAUGUCCAGGCGGGAUUUCAUCAUGUCCUGGUGGAGGCCGUUUGCAGCAGCUCUGCCGUCUCCAUCCUGCCGCCACACACGUGGGAGGAUCAUGAGGACCCGCUGGUCCCUCAUCCAGAGGAUCAUGAAGACCCGCUGGUCCCUCAUCCAGAGGAUCAUGAAGACCCGCUGGUCCCUCAUCCACGGAGACUACGUGUCCAUCAGGGAUACGGAGGUUGAUGCUCAGACCGAGGACUCUGUGGGGAGAGCUGUUGUUGGUGGUAGACUGGAAGGACAGGAAAAGACAAAGAAAAAUAUGAGGUUUUGUAUAUAAAUGUAUAGUUUUUAAUAAUUUGUAUAUAGUUUGUUUUUAUUUUGUAUAUAAAUGUAUAUAUUUGUUUAU